UGGGGAAUAUUGCACAAUGGAGGGAACUCUGAUGCAGCGACGCCGCGUGAACGAAGAAGGCUUUCGAGUCGUAAAGUUCUUUUAUAUGGGAAGAUAAUGACGGUACCAUAAGAAAAAGCCCCGGCUAACUACGUGCCAGCAGCCGCGGUAAUACGUAGGGGGCUAGCGUUGUCCGGAAUCACUGGGCGUAAAGGGUUCGCAGGCGGAAAUGCAAGUCAGGUGUAAAAGGCAGUAGCUUAACUACUGUAAGCAUUUGAAACUGCAUAUCUUGAGAAGAGUAGAGGUAAGUGGAAUUUUUAGUGUAGCGGUGAAAUGCGUAGAUAUUAAAAAGAAUACCGGUGGCGAACGCGACUUACUGGGCUCAUUCUGACGCUAAGGAACGAAAGCGUGGGUAGCAAACAGG
rnacentral:rRNA from 1 species